AACAUCUCUUCUCAGGAAAGCGAUCAACUGGGAAAACUGACCGGCGCUAGUAAACCAAGAUGGCAUUUUAUCUUGGAAUUUGCUGAUGGUACCUAUGAAGAUGCUUGUGUUGCAGUAUCUUGGCUGGCGGACAGAAAGGCUAAAAGAAAAUCCAGCUUAUUUUGGACAGCUUCGCAGUUGAAUUUCUGUCUCUGUUUUUUUGAACUUACCUUGCUUUUUAUUUAAGCUAUUUUUCAUAUUGUUUUUUAACUUUAAAUUUUGGAAGAAUGUUAGUUUUUAUUUUAUUUUAGAAGAACAAAGAUGUGAGGAACAUUAUAAGAAUUCAACCUAUUGAAAUGGCAAGACCUAGACUACAGAUUAAGUAUUUAAGUUUGUGCUUAAGAUGCUGCAGCUGAACUUGCUGCCUCUAUUAUGCAUUUUUGGAACGUAGAUA